GCCAGUGUGGUUUAGUGGUUUGAGCACUGUGCUACAACUCUGGAGAUCAGGGUUCAAUUCCCUGCUUGGCCA